UACGUAGGGGGCAAGCGUUGUCCGGAUUUAUUGGGCGUAAAGAGCUCGUAGGCGGCCUGUUGCGUCCGCUGUGAAAUCCCGGGGCUCAACCCUGGGCGUGCAGUGGAUACGGGCAGGCUGGAGGCAGGCAGGGGGAGAACGGAAUUCCCGGUGUAGCGGUGAAAUGCGCAGAUAUCGGGAGGAACACCGGUGGCGAAGGCGGAUCUCUGGGCCAUUACUGACGCUGAGGAGCGAAAAGCGUGGGGGAGCGAACAGG
rnacentral:rRNA from 1 species